ACAGCUGACUAUUGUUUAUUUAAAACGGAGACUCAGCUGACAUCAAGCUUUUAAAUAAAAGCUUAAUCUUACUUAAUCUUAAAUUAUUAAAUAGUUAAAUACAUUAAAUAUUUACAUGAGAUCUUACUUAAAGGUGAGAUUAAUUUACUAAUACGGCCCUUAAAGUGUAUAGAGUACCAGGAAAAACUAGUGUACCCGUGUGAGGACAGCGUUUCAUUGCGCUUCGUUGCGGGUAAGGAGAGGAAGAACAAAUGCCACCUAAGCGCAGAUAGCCUCAUCGUGGGAGGAAAAGCUGCAGAUAGAAACGAGUUCACUCACAUGGUGACCCUCAAGAGAUAUCGAAAACGUGUUUGUAAGAAUUUAUUUUCUUCGGCGACACAGAUUACACAUUACUUCGAUGAAAAGACGCAACUUUGCUUUGACGGAUACAACAAGACUAAUGCCGGAGACACCUGCAACGGCGACAGCGGUGCCCCUUUGUGUAUCAAACACGAGAAAAUUAAAUGCAUGUAUUUGGUUGUGGGAAUCGUAUCUGGAGGAAUCGGGUGUGCGUGGCGCAACCAGCCAGCCUACUUCACUAGGGUGUCGCACUAUAUUCCAUGGAUAGAAAGUAUUGUGUGGCCAAAUCAAUAAUCGUGGAAACGUUUCGGCACAAAUCAAUAAAUAUAAUAAUACACCUUCUUGAUUACUGUAUUAUUUAAUUUAAGAUACAAUAAAAAUGAA